CGUCUAGGCGGAUCAGUAAGUCGGCUGUGAAAUCCCUCGGCUCAACCGAGGAAGUGCAACCGAUACUGUUGGUCUUGAGGGCGAGAGGGGAGAGUGGAACUCCUGGUGGAGCGGUGAAAUGCGUAGAUAUCAGGAGGAACGCCGGUGGCGAAAGCGACUCUCUGGCUCGUCCCUGACGCUGAAGCGCGAAAGCUAGGGGAGCGAACG
rnacentral:rRNA from 1 species